AUUCAGAGUAGGGAUGCAUGGUGAUGACCUAUGAAUUGACAGCCAGUGUUUGCAACACAACUGCCUGUCAGUUCUGUAGGCCACUGCUGUGUCUAUCCUACUGAGCAC
rnacentral:pre_miRNA from 8 species